GUGCUUUCUCGGAAUCAGCUGGAGGAUAUUCCGCGUCUCCCGUCGUCCUUGACCAAGUUGUCUGCGCCGUCGAAUCUGCUGACCAGUAUUCCGGAUGUCCGCAAAUGUGCUGACCUGAUCGAGCUGCGCCUCAACAGCAAUCGGCUAACGGCCGUCAGUGAAAGCAUUCUAGAGAACAAGAGAUUGUUUGUGGUGGACAUCGGGAGGAACAAUAUCGCUUCGUUU